CUCCCAUCCGCGUCCCCUUCCCCACCCCCACUCCCAGAUCGUGCCGCGCGCCGCCCCUGACAUCCGUGGGAACCCCACCCCGCCACCGACGAGGCCCGACCCACCAGGGGCCCAGCCAAGAUGGUGCUCGCGUAGCUGGGUUGGUUGGGCAUGAGAAUCUAGAAGACUGACUGUCGGGGCACUACGGGAAGCGGCCAGUGAAGAUGACGAGGACAAGGACGGCCACGACGAGGAGGGCGGCGAAGGGCGUGCCGACCCUGCGGCGCCAGAUGCCGCCCAGCUCAUGAGGCCCCAGCCAAGCUCGGCGUGCCCUCCUGCUCAAGCUGCUCCAGCCACUAGCUGCGCCUGCCCGCUUUGGCAUCCCGCGCCCGCCGCCCCUAGGUCCUUCACCAGCGUGGCUUGCCGCAGCUCAUACACCGCCUCCUCGUUCGUCGUCCCCGUCACCACCAGGCUCGGCCUCGGCGCCGCGCCGCCCCUCGACCUCCAUGCCACGGCGGGGAGCAGGCCACCGCCCAUGUGUACUUCAGACGUCGCAUCCACCACCUCCUUCGCCAGAUCGAAAGCAGGUGCACGCGGAUCCAGCUCCUCCAUCGCCAUAAGGUCGUCUCUUGCGCGCGGAUCCACUCGUCUGAUCCUGUGGUGGCUGCAGAUUUCGGGCGGAGAGGGAGGUGGCGCUGCAGGCGUGUGAUGCUGCGGACUGGGUCUACAAGGGAGAGGGCGCGGCGAAUCUCAUCCUCUGCUACACCGACUCCUCGCCCUCCAUGGUACUGCGGGCCAAGAAGGUCCUAAAUGACAAGGCACAACCAGCACCAAACUGUGUAAACUUCUCAAGCUACGAGCAGCUCGUGUGGGGUGACAUCCCAGAACUACAAUGAGCCAUGGGCAAGGGACAGACUUGCAUCGACAUCGUGGUCAUUGGCGAAUCGGUAGUAUUGCUGUAUCGGUAGUAUUGCUGUACCGGUAGUAUUGCUGUACAAGUUUACUGUAGUAUUUUGAUGAUUGCCUUCAUUCAUGUUUCAACGUGAGCUCUAGGUCGAAGUUGCAAGAAGCAAGGAUUCAGGAUCUAGGCAUGCAUGCAUGCUCUCUUAGCCCUGCUUCUGCUCCUUAGGAGAUGUGAAUUUUUGGGAUUUUUGAUGUACUCCUAGCAUUUAUCUUUUCUCUUAUCUCUUUGUUGUUUUGCUAGAACCGUAAAUCCUGAUGCAUGAUGAUCAUGGUUUGUUUUUGUAGAUCUGUUAUGAUGGCGCUUAAAAUUUUACAUGCCUGGAUUCUGAUUGAACUUGUUCUUGUAGGUCUUUUCACUUCUAUGAUCAGUUUAGUUAGAGUUGCACAUGUCAGAACACUAUAUACCAAUAACUCCCAGCUAGUGAGAAAUUUUUUGUCACUCCAUUAACACAUACUGGAGCUCUGGGUUGAAGAAGUUCGAAGAAGGGAACACUUCAUCUUUGUAGCUAGUUUUAUGUUCCUGGGUGUUUACUUCAUAGAUGUUCCUGGGUGUUCCUGGGUGUUUGUUUACUUCAUAGAUGUUCCUGGAUGUUCCUGGGUGUUUGCACUUCCUGAGUGUUCUAAAUUCCUGGAUGAUGUGGACUACCGCAUGAUUGUAAUAUAUAUAAUAUACUCAUUUUGGACGUCAUUUGUGAAAAUUU